GGGAACGGGCAGGGGUUGGUUGCGGGGAUCUGCGAUAGCUAUGAAAUCCUCCAUUUCCUGAACCAACACGAUUACCAUUAGCCAUCUCUCUGUACAGAUAUAUGUAUCUCUCUCUAAAUAUAUAAAGUGGCUCUUGGCAAGUGAUAUUUAUAGCUACAAUAUUUAGGAGAAAGGGGGGGACACAUAGCAGUAGGGCGUAAUGAACGAGGUGAAGGUAUUCGCCCGGAUAAAUAGGUUUUCACAGUUGGGCAAAUGAGUAUUGACCGAAAACAACAUAGUUAUGUACUACUACUUCCUCAACCCAAAAUAAGUGUAAUUUUAGCUCAUUUGACGUCCAUUAAGGAAAAUAAUAAAUUGAAGGUAUAGUUUAUUAAGUUACCUUUAUUUAUUAGAUGUUCUUGAGAAUUGAAUACUAUUAAGGAGUAGUUCUUUAAUACGAAAGUAUAGUUGGAAAAACAUACAAAUUUUUGCCUUGAAUUCCUACGAUAUUUUGGGAAAAUUUAUUGUUGGCUACAGUGACACUUAUUUUGGGACAGAGGGAGUAUAUGUUACUUACAGUUUAAUUUUCAGCCAUUUGGCCAUUUAAAAACCCAAAAACAAAUAAAACCCCGAAUAUGUCUGAAUAGCAACUUUGUAACCAUUUGUGAAAUUUACCAACACUGAAUGCAAACUUUUAUCAUCCACAAUAGAACAUCUUACAUAUGACAAAGCAAAUCUGACUAUAAAUGGGACAACAUCAAACACAUAAAAUAAGUAAAUUUUGUGGCAACUUCCAAUUCAGUUUAAGUAUGACAUCAACACACUUUUAAAAAAGAAGUCGUACGUAAUACGCCACUGGGAAAACAGGUUGUAACUGAAGCUUAGCAGUUCCCUCAAAUUUUCCUUAAAGUUUAUGGGAUUGCCUAAUUUCUCGCACUGUUCAAUGAUCAUCCUCACAAGUUUUGGAGAAUGAGAAAAGAGGACUCUUAUUAAGUACAUUCCAGUACCUGAUCCCUUGAGUUUCCGCAACCUCACUGUUUGAAUCAAUCUCAUAGCUUCAUUCACAUGGUCUUUUUACAUUGAUAAGUAAGAUAACAGUUUCGUUCUCUGACUCAAUGUCUCAUCAAUCUGAAGACAAAGUCUCUUAAUAGUCAUCCUACAUUACCAAAGUUAAAGAUAUAAAGUGUAACAAUAAAACUUAAUGGCAAUAUGAAAGUUUUAAAGAUUUAGAAUAAAUAAAGAAAGGUGUUUAUACAUAGGACUGUCCUUAUUAGGUAUGGUAUGUCUUACCUUUACAACCUCGUCUAUUUCAAUUUCGUAAAAGUUAGGAGAAGUCCUAAGCAGGCAAACUACACAAGAAAAUACUUUCAACUGAAAUCUUAAAGUCACAAAUUUUCAGGCUUUGCAGUUUUAGUGACUGGCGAGACAUGUCUGGCACAUCAACCGAGCAAUGUGUCUGAAACAAAAGAUGCCAAAAAAUGAAAUUAUGGAGUGUUGGUUAAAACAGCUACGAAAAUAAAACGAGGCAGCAUAAUUUUGUUACCUCUAGGGAUGUUCCAUUCAAGAAAAGAUGCUUAAUGAUUCUAAAGAUUGGGUUCACAUUAAAACACUCAAAUGUAAUUUUAUAGCUGCUAAGGAUAGACAAGUUCUCAAGUACUUGGAGAAACCAAAUAAACGGAAUCAAUAGCAACACAAAAUCUCAACUCCAAAAUCUUGAGCAUUAACUGAUUAAGUGUUUUUUUUAAUCCUAUAGUACAGGCAAUUGCAGAAUCCUUGAACUGAAGACUAACAUGAUUGGGGAAUUGAGUACCAACAUGCUUAAGGAUACAUCUCGAUAGCUUCAAAUAUAUCAAUGUUUCACAAGUAAAUAUGCUAUCAGGCAACACAUACUUUUCAUCAUUGGCCAUAUCUAGAUUAAGCUUCUAGAUACCAUAAUUUGAGACAAAGAUGUCUAUCCCGGAGAGAAGAUGCAAUCCCAGAAUAUUUUCAGUAUGUUAAGCAUGAGAAUUUUAUGAAUUAUGCUAGCAGCAUAUAAGAUACGUACUUAAAAAACAGGGGAUCAAACACAAGAUUAGGUUGUGUAGACCAUAACAGCCUCUAAUGUUUUGAUAAGAUUCUAGCUCUUGCAGCGUAUUUGAUGGGCAUUAGCUCUAGUACUCUAUAUAGUGUGUCAGUUGGUAAUUCAGAAAUAAUAGAUAAGGGUCAACUAUAUGAUUCGUCAUUACAUUUUAUUUUUUUUUAUCUUCAAAAUUCGGGGAUCGUCACUACAUUUCACUGACUAUGAAAAGUUGAAAACAAAUAAUUACAGCCAUAAGAUUGUAGUUUAUCUGCUUUAGUCAUAUCCUACAUUGUUACAGUGAUGUGCUUUUUAUACGUCAGUGAGUUUGAAUAAAGGGUAUAUUGGUACUGGACUAAUGUAGUCGGUAACAGACCCUCUAAUAUAGAUAUUAACAGUAAGCGUGUUUGCACGUGAGUUAAUUCGUUAGAAGAACUGAUUGGGAUGAAGAAUCAGUCGUAUAUGCUCUUCACUAGUGGAAGAUCAAGAAAUAGCAUCCAUCUCGGUCAUAUACCGACCUUUCAAAAUUCAUAUUCAUAAGUUGACAACAGAUAGUAGUAUAAAGUAUAAAGUUGCCAGUAGAAUGAAAGGAACGAUGUGUUUUAUUGAUUGUAAACUAAGUAUAUAUAGAUUCUGUACAACUUCUACAGCAAAGAGAUAAACUAAGAAAAAGGUAAGACUUAUCUAUAACCUAUAUAUAAGGAGGAAGUUACAACAGAGUCCUAAAGAGAAGACACUACUAAAUCUGAUCCGUUAUUAAGUAGCAGUACUAACUCAAGUCUGCAGGUCAAAGCAAUAUCAUACAUCUUGGUGCCAUACCGACCUUUCAGAAUUCAUAUUCUCAAGUUGACAGCAAAUAUGAGCAGCAACAACUCAAGUCUGCAGGUCAAAGCAAUAACAUCCAUCUCGGUGAUAUACCGACUUUUCAGAAUUCAUAUUCUCAUGUUGUAGCAACUCUUGAGAAACUUGCUCCAUCAGGGCCGGUCACAUCAACAGCCUUAGUACGACCAUCACUGCCAGACUCAACCUCGAACUCAACUAUAUUACCAUCAAAUAGGCUAUGGAAACACUUAGAUCUGAUACCAGAAUAGUGAAUGAAGAGAUCGUCACUAAGCCACUUGACGGUUCCCCUAGCCAUCUGUCCACUCUCACCUGCCAUUCUCACUAACAAAAAGAAACCCUAAAAACCCAUUGUGUGUCUCCUUUGGAAUUAUCACCGUGACAAGAAAAUAAUCUAAUAUAGUCGUUGGUCAUUUUACUUAUAUUAGAUUGUUUUCUUGUAACGGUGACAAUUCCAAAGGAAACACACAAAGGGUUUUUAGUGUUUCUCUUUGUUAGUGAGAAUGGAGGGUGAGAGUGGACAGAGGGAUAAUGGAAUCGUGAAGUGGUUCAGUGAGGAUCUCUUCAUUCACUAGUCUGGUAUCAGAUCUGAGGGUUUCCGUAGCCUAUUUGAUGGCGACACAGUUGAGUUCUAGAUUGGGUUCGGCAGUGAUGGUCGUACUAAGGCUGUUGAUGUGACCGGCCCUGAUGGAGCGAGUUUCUUUGAAGUUGCUACAACAUGAGAAUGUGAAUUCUAGAAGGUCGGUAUAUCACCGAGAUGGAUGUUAUUGCCUUACCUGCGGACUUGAGUUGCUGCUGCUCAUAUCUUCUGUCAACUUGAGAAUAUGAAUUAUGAAAGCUUGCUAUAUCACCAAGAUGGAUGAUAUUAAUUUGACCUGCAGACUUGAGUUAGUGUUGCUCCUAUCUGUUGUCAACUUAAGAAUAUGAAUUAUGAAAGGUCGGUACGGAGAUAGAUGUUUUUCUUGAACUUACACUGGUGGAGAGCAUAUACCACUGAUUCAAUUCACCCCAAUCAAUUCUUCUAACGAAUUAACUCUGGUGCAAGCAUACUUACUGUUAAUAUAUAUCUAUAUUAGAGCAUUUGUUACAAACUGCAAAAUUAGUCCAGUGACCAAUAUACUCUUUAUUCAAAAUCACUUACGUGACGGGAUUCUUAAUUGCUCCAGUAUCACUAGCUAGCAAGUAAUCCUCAUUCUCCAGCUUGGUGUAGUUCUUGAAGGUGUGCACUUCCCUUUAAUUGUGUGUACACUCUGAAACAACACAUACUAGUAGGCAUCAUCGUCCUCAGCUAUCAGAGAUCAUUAUCGUCCUUAGUUAGGGAACAUCACUGAAUUCCUAUAACUAGACUAUGCCAAGUGGCAUAGCAAGAGUAGUAUCAGUUCAAACAACGCAUACUAGUAGGCAUUAUCGGUCGACCCGAACCUACUACAUAAUAUGAAGUAGACAUUCAGAAGGGAACAUACUGUAACAUCCGACAAUUUGAAAUAGCUAAGAAGAGGCUUAGAAUUUGAAAAUUUUCAUUUUUGGAAAGGAUUUGAAAAUCUGGAAAAUUGGCUAAGUGUGGAAAUCAGUGAUUUUUGGCCAACUUUGAGCAGUCAUAACUUCCAGCUCAGGAUGAGUUAGGAGUAGUUCCAGUUAUGGUUGUGAAGCUUGUGUAAUGAUCUUUCCAACUCCGCCGAGUUUGCUCAAUUCCGAAUUCGUAUGAGCGAGUUAUGGCCCUUUGAAAGUUGGGAAGUUGACAAGAAAAUCCGUCCGGGAAUCAUCAAGGGCAUUUUGAUCUUUUCCCUAGCUAAUUCUUUUGAGGAUAUAUUGUUGUAUAGGGCUGAUCUUUGGAUCAUUUUGUUCCAUUUUAAGAGAGUGAAGGCUAGGGCUUGAGAAGAAGAAGAGAAGAAGAAGAGAAGAAGAAGAGAAGAAGAAGAGAAGAAGAAGAGAAGAAGAAGAGAAGAAGAAGAGAAGAAGAAGAGAAGAAGAAGAGAAGAAGAAGAGAAGAAGAAGAGAAGAAGAAGAGAAGAAGAAGAGAAGAAGAAGAGAAGAAGAAGAGAAGAAGAAGAGAAGAAGAAGAGAAGAAGAAGAGAAGAAGAAGAGAAGAAGAAGAGAAGAAGAAGAGAAGAAGAAGAGAAGAAGAAGAGAAGAAGAAGAGAAGAAGAGGAGAAGAAGAAGAGGAAAAAUCGAGGAGAUCAUCGUGGAUUUUCGUCGGAGGUGAUCCCUACCAAGGUAUGUGAGCUUUUAGUGUUGGGUGAUCCUUUCCCCCACACACCUAGCCCCUUUUACUUAUUAAGGAAGGAUUGGCUUUGUUGUUAGUUGUUGUGGUUGAAGUUGUUGGAGUUGUUAAAGUUGUUAGUUGUUGUUGUUGGAAUUAUUGUUGGUUGUGGGACAUGAUUGGAUGGUGUUUUUGAGUGGUAUUCUAUUGAAUGUUGAGGGAUUUUAUGUUCUAAGUGAUUGGAGGAUGAAACCCUUGAAGUUGGAGGGUUUAGAGUUGGUAACGUGAAGGGAAAGUCGGGAAGCUUGCGAGGAGCAUGUCCGCGUCGCGGACUUGUUCCCUCUGUGAANNNNNNNNNNNNNNNNNNNNNNNNNNNNNNNNNNNNNNNNNNNNNNNNNNNNNNNNNNNNNNNNNNNNNNNNNNNNNNNNNNNNNNNNNNNNNNNNNNNNNNNNNNNNNNNNNNNNNNNNNNNNNNNNNNNNNNNNNNNNNNNNNNNNNNNNNNNNNNNNNNNNNNNNNNNNNNNNNNNNNNNNNNNNNNNNNNNNNNNNNNNNNNNNNNNNNNNNNNNNNNNNNNNNNNNNNNNNNNNNNNNNNNNNNNNNNNNNNNNNNNNNNNNNNNNNNNNNNNNNNNNNNNNNNNNNNNNNNNNNNNNNNNNNNNNNNNNNNNNNNNNNNNNNNNNNNNNNNNNNNNNNNNNNNNNNNNNNNNNNNNNNNNNNNNNNNNNNNNNNNNNNNNNNNNNNNNNNNNNNNNNNNNNNNNNNNNNNNNNNNNNNNNNNNNNNNNNNNNNNNNNNNNNNNNNNNNNNNNNNNNNNNNNNNNNNNNNNNNNNNNNNNNNNNNNNNNNNNNNNNNNNNNNNNNNNNNNNNNNNNNNNNNNNNNNNNNNNNNNNNNNNNNNNNNNNNNNNNNNNNNNNNNNNNNNNNNNNNNNNNNNNNNNNNNNNNNNNNNNNNNNNNNNNNNNNNNNNNNNNNNNNNNNNNNNNNNNNNNNNNNNNNNNNNNNNNNNNNNNNNNNNNNNNNNNNNNNNNNNNNNNNNNNNNNNNNNNNNNNNNNNNNNNNNNNNNNNNNNNNNNNNNNNNNNNNNNNNNNNNNNNNNNNNNNNNNNNNNNNNNNNNNNNNNNNNNNNNNNNNNNNNNNNNNNNNNNNNNNNNNNNNNNNNNNNNNNNNNNNNNNNNNNNNNNNNNNNNNNNNNNNNNNNNNNNNNNNNNNNNNNNNNNNNNNNNNNNNNNNNNNNNNNNNNNNNNNNNNNNNNNNNNNNNNNNNNNNNNNNNNNNNNNNNNNNNNNNNNNNNNNNNNNNNNNNNNNNNNNNNNNNNNNNNNNNNNNNNNNNNNNNNNNNNNNNNNNNNNNNNNNNNNNNNNNNNNNNNNNNNNNNNNNNNNNNNNNNNNNNNNNNNNNNNNNNNNNNNNNNNNNNNNNNNNNNNNNNNNNNNNNNNNNNNNNNNNNNNNNNNNNNNNNNNNNNNNNNNNNNNNCUAUGUAUAUAUGUAAAUAUUCUAUUUUGAGACUUGAGUUGCCUUUUUGGCCAGAUAUGUAUCAGUUAAGUUGUUUAUGUCUUUGCAUGGCAUUGAGUUUUCUGUUGAGUCAGGUUUCCGCUGAGUUAAGAAAGCCAGGCCAAGGGUUCGCUUGGAGCCAGUAAUGGUCUCCGAGUGCCGGUCCCGCCCAGGGUGUAGGCUCGGGGCGUGGCACAUACAGUAUAAAAGUUACACUACCCCAAGUUUCUAUCCACAUGCUUUCACCAUCCUAGGUGUAAUACCCAUAAACUAGAAUGCUUUGAACCCAACCAACUACCUCAUUCCACUGUCAACUCAAAUAUUUAAACAUUCGACCCUCUUGUCAUUCUAUGGUUUCCCAAGUCUACAUAUUAGGUCACCAUAAUUUCAAAUCAUAGGCUAACCCUUCUAUCACAUUAAUAUCCACAAAUAUAAGACCACCAUAAUGCAAAAUAAUAGCCUAACCCUUCUACCAUAUUAAUAUUUACGAAUAUCAGGUCAUCACUAGCCCUAUCAACCAACUUACUGGUCCUUCUCAAUUUCUCAUGCCAACUCCCUGACCCUUUUGGAAUAGUACAUAAAACUAACACCUUAGACAAACUCAUCCAUCUUGACUCACAUCCCCAUAUCAUAAAAGUUCUAAAAACACUGGACAACCAUAACCAGUCCCAAAAGAUGUUUCUGAAACAAAAAAUGCCAAAAAAUGAAAUUAUGGAGUGUUGGUUACAACAGCUACGAAAAUAAAACGAGGCAGCAUAAUUUUCUUACCUCUAGGGAUGUUCCAUUCAAACAAAGAUGCUUAAUGAUUCUAAAGAUUGGGUUCACAUUAAAACACUCAAAUGUAAUUUUACAGCUGCUAAGGAUAGACAAAUUCUCAAUUAUUGGAGAAACCAAAUAACGGAAUCACUAUCAACACAAAAUCUCAACUCCAAAGUCUCGAGCAUUAACUGAUUAACUGUUCUUUUUUUAAUCCUAUAGUACAGGCAAUUGCAGAAUCUUCUAACUGAAGGCUAACAUGAUUGGGCAAUUGAGUACCAACAUGCAACUUAAAGAUACACCUUGAUAGCUUCACAUAUGUCAAUGUUUCACAGGUAAAUAUGCUAUGAGGCAACACAUAUUUUUCAUCAUUGGCCAUAUCUAGAUUAGUCUUCUAGAUACCAUGAUUUGAGACAAAGGUGUCUAUCCCGGAGAGAAAAUGCAAUCCCAGAAUAUUUCCAGUAUGUUAAGCAUGAGAAUUUUAUAAACUAUGCUAGCAACGUAUAAGAUAUGUACUUAAAAAAACAGGGGAUCAAACACAAGAUUAGGUAUUGAUAAGAUUCUAGCUCUUGCAGCGUAUUUGAUGGGCAUUAGCUCUAGUACUCUAUAUAGUGUGUCUGUUGGUAAUUCAGAAAUAAUAGAUAAGGGUCAACUAUAUUAUUCGUCACUACAUUUUUUUUCUUUGAUUUUCGAAAUUCGGGUAUCGUCACUACAUUUCACUGACUAUGAAAAGUUGAAAACAAAUAAUUACAGCCAUAAGAUUGUAAUUUAUCUGCUUCAGUCAUAUCCUAUAUUGUUACAGUGAUGUGCUUUUCAUACGUUAGUGAGUUUGAAUAAAGGGUAUAGUGGUGCUGGACUAAUGUAGCAGUUGGUAACAAACCCUCUAAUAUAGAUAUUAACAGUAAGCCUUUUUGUACCUGAGUUAAUUUGUUAGAAGAAUUGAUUGGGAUGAAGAAUCAGUUGUAUAUGCUCUUCACUAGUGGAAGAUCAAGAAAUAGCAUCAAUCUCGGUGAUAUACCAACCUUUCAGAAUUCAUAUUCAUAAGUUGACAACAGAUAGGAGCAGCACUAACUCAAGUCUGCAGGUCAAAGCAAUAUCAUACAUCUUGGUGCUAUACUGACCUUUCAGAAUUCAUAUUCUCAAGUUGACAGCAGAUAUGAGCAGCAGCAACUCAAGUCUGCAGGUCAAAGCAAUAACAUCCAUCUCGGUGAUAUACCGACUUUUCAGAAUUCAUAUUCUCAUGUUGUAGCAACUUCUGAGAAACUUGCUCCAUCAGAGCCAGUCACAUCAACAACCUUAGUACGACCAUCACUGCCAGACUCAACCUCGAACUCAACUAUCUCGCCAUCAAAUAGGCUAUGGAAACACUUAGAUCUGAUACCAGACUAGUGAAUGAAGAGAUCGACACUAAGCCACUUGACGGUUCCCUUAGCCCUCUGUCCAAUCUCACCCGCCAUUCUCAUCACUAACAAACAGAAACCCUAAAAACCCAUUGUGUGGUUCCUUUAGAAUUGUCACCGUUACAAGAAAACAAUGUAAUAUAAGUAAAAUGACCAACGACUAUAUUAGAUUAUUUUUUUGUCACGGUGACAAUUCCAAAGGAAACACACAAAGGGUUUUUAGGGUUUCUCUUUGUUAGUGAGAAUGGCGGAUGAGAGUGGACAGAGGGCUAAGGGAACCGUGAAGUGGAUCAGUGAGGAUCUCUUCAUUCACUAGUCUGGUAUCAGAUCUGAGGGUUUCUGUAGCCUAUUUGAUGGCGCCAUAGUUGAGCUCAAGAUUGAGUUCGGCAGUGAUGGUCGUACUAAGGCUGUUGAUGUGACCGGCCCUGAUGGAGCGAGUUUCUUAGGAGGUGCUACAACAUGAGAAUGUGAAUUCUAGAAGGUCGGGUAUAUCACCGAGAUGGAUGUUAUUGCCUUACCUGCAGACUUGAGUUGCUGCUGCUCAUAUCUCCUGUCAACUUGAGAAUAUGAAUUAUGAAAGCUCGCUAUAUCACAAAUUAAGAUGGAUGAUAUUGCUUUGACCUGCAGACUUGAGUUAGUGCUGCUCCUAUCUAUUGUGAACUUAAGAAUAUGAAUUAUGAAAGGUCGGUACCGAGAUGGAUGAUUUUCUUGAUCUUACACUGGUAGAGAGAAUAUAUGACUGAUUCCUCAUCCCAAUCAAUUCUUCUAACGAAUUAAUUUUGGUGCAAGCAUGCUUACUGUUAAUAUCUAUAUUAGAGCAUCUGUUACAAAUUGCUACAUUAGUCCAGUGACCAAUAUACUCUUUAUUCAUACUCAGUUAUGUGACGGGAUUCUUAACUGCUCCAGUAUCACUAGCUGGCAACUAAUCCAUUCUCCAGCUUGUUGUAGUUCUUGAAGGAGUGCACUUCCCUUCAAUUGUGUGUACACUCUAAAACAACACAUACUAGUAGGCAUCAUCGUCCUCAGCUAUAAGAGAUCAUUAUCGUCCUUAGAUAUGGAACAUCACUAAAUUCCUAUAACCAGAUUAUGCCAAGUAGCAUAGCAAGAGUAGUAUCAGUACAAACAACGCAUACUAGUAGGCAUCAUCGGUCGACCCGAACCUACUACAUAAUAUGAAGUAGACAUUCAGAAGGGAACAUACAAUAUGAAAGUUACACCACCCCAAGUCUCUAUCCACAUGCUUUCACCAUCCUAGGUAUAAUACCCAUAAACUAGUACACUUUGAACUCAACCUCCUACCUCAUUCGACUGUCAACUCUAAUAUUUAAGCGUUUGACCCUCUUGUCAUUCUAUGGCUUCCCAAGUCUGCAUAUUAGGUCACCAUAAUGUCAAAUCAUAGUCUAACCCUUCUAUCACAUUAAUAUCCACAAAUAUAAGACCACCAUAAUGCAAAAUAAUAGCCUGACACUUCUACCAUAUUAAUAUUUACAAAUAUCAGGUCAUCACUAGCCCUAUUAACCAACUUACUGGUCCUUCUCAAUUUCUCACGCCAACUCCCUGACCCUUUUGGAAUAGUACAUUAAACUAACACCUUAGACAAACUCAUCCAUCUUGACUCACAUCCCCAUUAUCAUAUAAGUUCUAAAACACUGGACAACUAUAACCAGUCCCAAAAGAUGUUUCUGAAACAAAAGAUGCCAAAAAAUGAAAUUAUGGAAUGUUGGUUACAACAACUAUGAAAAUAAAACGAGGCAGCAUAAUUUUUACCUCUAGGGAUGUUCCAUUCAAGCAAAGAUGCUUAAUGAUUCUAAAGAUUGGGUUCACAUUAAAACACUCAAAUGUAAUUUUAUAGCUUCUAAGGAUGGGCAAGUUCUCAAUUAUUGGAGAAACCAAAUAACAGAAUCAAUAUCAAAACAAAAUCUCAACUCCAAAGUCUCGAGCAUUAACUGAUUAACUGUUUUUUUAAUCCUAUAGUACAGGCAAUUGCAGAAUCCUCUAACUGAAGCCUAAAAUGAUUAGGGAAUUGAGUACCAACAGGCAGCUUAAAGAUACAUCUCGAUAGCUUCAAAUAUGUUAACGUUUCACAAGUAAAUAUGUUAUCAGGCAACACAUAUUUUUCAUCAUUGGCCAUAUAUAAAUUAAGCUUCUAGAUACCAUGAUUUGAGAUAAAGAUGUCUAACCCAGAGAGAAGAUGCACUCCAAAAUUAUUUCCAGUAUGUUAAGCAUGAGAAUUUUAUGAAUUAUUCUAGCAGCUAGAAUCCUCAAUAUAAGAUACGUACUUAAAAAAACAGGGGAUCAGACAUAACAUUAGGUUGUGUAAACCAUAACAGCCUCCAAUGUUUGAUAAGUCUAGCACUUGCAGCGUAUUUGAUGGGUAUUAGCUCUAGUACUCUAUAUAGUGUGUCAGUUGGUAAUUCAGAUAUAAUAGAUAAGGGUCAACUAUAUGAUUCGUCACUACUUUUGUUUUCUUUGAUCUUCGAAAUUCGGGGAUUGUCAUUACAUUUCACUGACUAUGAAAAGUUGAAAACAAAUAAUUACAGCCAUAAGAUUUGAUAAGAACUUAUGCUUUUUGGUGUUUUGAUGAUCUCCUUACAAGUGCAGGGACCUGGUCCUCUGCAGAGUAUGAAUACUCGUCCAGUGGUCAAAGUGUUGUACAGCUGGAAAGCUGUCUGCGUCAGAAGGUUGGUGAAGCUGCAGAGUACUCCACCAAUCAGAAGCGACGAGGUUGCUUGUUCAUUGGAUAAUAAAUUUUCUUGUCUAAAUAUAUCCAAGGAAAAAUAACAAACUAAUUCAUUCAUUCAAAAGGAGAGAGAGCCAACACGUCUUCUCAAGAACUUACUAAGAAAAGUCUGUAAGGGACCUGGUCCCUGCAAGAUUGCGUACGUGAAAGGACGACAGUACAUCUGUAAAGUUGUCACUUCUGAUGUGGCAGGUGCACGUCUUUACAGAGAAGGCAGGCUCUUAGCCAAUGGGCUGUCCCAAGGAGUUUGUGUUCAUUUUCAUUAUAUUAUCUCUUCCCAAAAUACACAAACUCAAGAUUUUGGCAAACAAAAACUCACAAGCUUAAAAGGAAAAGCCAUCUUCAAGGUAGAACAAUACUUACACUCAACAAAAGGAUUUGAUAAAGGGAUGAAGCAUCUUUGUUGAGUUUGAGUUUUGUGUCUAUCAUUUUAUAGGUUUUUGCAUUUUGAAACUUAUCAAGUAUACAAGCAAAGACCAUUUUGGUGAAGUAUUCUCCAGCAAGCACAACAAGGACCUGAUCAAGCUGCAUGCAUCUAAGUGUGUCUUAGGAGUUAUACUUUCGUGCAUAUAUUGUAAAUCUUUUCCUAGUCUAUAAAGGAUUCAUAUAUUUGUUUCUGUGUGGAAAGGUCUAAGUCGGUUAGAGUUAGCCGAUUUAGUGAGCAGUGUUGUAUCUGCUCAGUCAAAAGUCUAAGUCAUCUAGGAGCUAGUUGAUUUAGUGGGCGAUGUGGUAUCCGCUUAGCAAAGUCUAAGUUAUCUAGGGGUGAUAGCUUAGUGGGCAGUGUUGUAUCUUUUUAGGCUCGUCUAAGUAAUAUGAUAUAUUGCUUAGUGUGGAGAUUAGUAGGUUAAUCUCAUUUUGUAAACUGGCUUUUACUUUUGCUUUGAGAAGAUUAGUGGAAGCAGUUUGAAAAGUCCUGGUAGGCCAGGUCGUGGUUUUACUCCCUUGAGCAAGGAGGUUUCUAUGUAAAAUUGUUGUGCAAUCUUUACUUUCAGCACUUUGUUUAUUUUCUGCUAUUGUAACUGUGUUGAGGACCUGGUCCCAUCUAACAAAGUAAACAUUCAAGUUUUGUUUAAGGUCAGAAAGAGUUACCUCUUCCUCAACUUCUUCAUCAUCAGAUUUUUCCAUGAAAGCAAACAUGGCAUCAAAAACAUCUUCAUCAUCUUUAACUGCAAGCAUGGAAGCAUCUUCAGGAUGUUCUGACUCUUCUGAGUCACUUGAGGAAUCACCCCAGACAGCAAGAGUUUUCUUCACAACAUUGUCAGCAACAACUUUUCUUCCUUUCUUAUCAGGGAUCGGGUCCCUUCUCCUGUCCUUAUCUCCUACGGGCCUUGGGUGGUCUUUGUGUUCGACCUUGAGCAUAGGGAAGUCUCUGAUGAAAUGCCCUGGCUUUCCUCAAUUUCUCACGCCAACUCCCUGAUCCUUUUGGAAUAGUACAUGAAUCUAGCACCUUAGACAAACUCAUCCAUCUUGACUCACAUCCCAUUAUCAUAUAAGUUCUAAAAAAACUGGACAACCAUAACCAGUCCCAACACUUAAACCAUACACCAGACCCCGAUCAUCUGCCUAACUUAACAACCACCAUUUUAAUAAACCAACAACAUCAUGAUAAAUAGAACCACAAUUUACAAACAACUAAAGAAUUGAGUCCCCAUAAACUCAACCCAGUAAUUAAAACAAUUAUAAUCACAAGUAUAACAUAGUUCAGACUCCCAGUCCGCACCUUGGAUUCAUAUGCACGACCCGCAAUACCAUAAACACAUGCCAAUCACAUGUAACAACUAUCACGAAUGCAUAGACUUGCAGUCACAAUAUCUUGAAAUCAACCAAUACCUAGAAUCAACCAUUGCAUUAAACAUGUCACACAUGAGCACAAAUGCAAAUACAUGGUCAUCCCAUGGAACCAUAACACAUAUACUUGGUCCUCUCUGUUAUACCCCAUUUUAACUCACGUCAAAUAGUGUACAACAUAUUGGUGAUUCCUAAAUUAAUUAACUUAAGGAGCUGCCACCUAAUUAUUUUUAAGGUAAAUUAGGACGCCUAAAUAUUUAACUAAUGUAAUGCUAAAGUUGAAUCCAACUAAUGGCCUACUUAACUUAUGUGAUUUUAGGUAAGAGUUCUAGUUAUCAUAAAAAAAAGAGGUUAAGCAUCCUUAAGAUUCGUUAAAAAUGAUUACCGACCAAACUUAGGUUAAUUAUUUAAACUACAGAUUGAGUUCUAAGAAAUUAGUCAAAGAAUUACGUUGGAAAAACACGUCAAUCUUAAAUCAAUUAGCAUACUUGAAACUUGAAAACUCUUUGCAUUUGAAGCAGAACAACAAAGACUUAAAAAUUGAAACUUGAAAACUCUUUGCAUUUGAAGCAGAACAACAAAGACUUAAAAAUUGAAACUUGAAAACUCUUUGCAUUUGAAGCAGAACAACAAAGACUUAAAAAUUGAAACUUGAAAACUCUUUGCAUUUGAAGCAGAACAACAAAGACUUAAAAAUUGAAACUUGAAAACUCUUUGCAUUUGAAGCAGAACAACAAAGACUUAAAAAUUGAAACUUGAAAACUCUUUGCAUUUGAAGCAGAACAACAAAGACUUAAAAAAAAAGAUUUGUUGCAACUAAAAAGAAAGACUCGUUGCUUUAGAACUCUUAUUUUUGUUUCAAAAGAAAUCUAAGUAGCAAAAACAUGAAUAAGACCAACUCCUGGAUACUUUAACUUGGACAUUGCCAUAUCUGAAGAAAAUUUCAAAUGCUCUUCGUGUGAAAGAGAUAAAAAAGAUUCUUUAAGAAAAUGAUUUCAAACUCUAUUUAAAAUGUUCGCAAGUCAAGUUAUAUACAAUUAGAUUUAUAAAACGACUCAAAAAAAAACUAAGACGGAUAAGCUAAUAUAAUCUUAAAAAAUAUUCGCUGAAAUAAUACUAAUUACCCCCCUCUAAAGGCCAAGUGUCUAAGACGGAUAAUCUAAUAUAACGUAAAACAAACAAUCACAUGAGAAAAGAAAAUGAUUAAUUAACCUUAGAGCGAGCUAACAAUGAUCAGGUUGAUCCUUCUUCUCCCUUAUUUUUUUUAUUGCUUCAACUCGGAUGCUUUUCAAGAGGGGGAGAACUGAAUGAGGAGAUAGGCGCGGAUUCCAAAUAUAGCGACAAUAUCGAGUCUCACAAGGAGACUUCUCGUGGCAUCAUGAGUCUUUUAUAAAGACUCCAUUUUCUCCUGUUCAUGCAAAUAAAGAGAGUAAGAAGAGAUUAGUAAGAUGAUUCAACUUUAUACAAUAUCAAAUAAAUAAAAAAAUAGAGCCAAAUAACAUCAUACGACGAAUACACUAUCCAAAACAAUAAAUGUCGAACGAGACACGUCUUGCAACUGGCUACUUUGAACCGAACUCAAAAUUGAUUUAGAUUAUAACAUCUUUCUUAAGCAUAAGACAAACUCAAAUCUCAUCAUAUUUAAGCUAUAACUUCCUAAAGGUUCAAGUGAAAACUUAAGCCAUAAUCCUUCAAAUUUUAUAUAUGCCAUUACUUCAAACACAGAAGAAACGUAUACAUAUAACUCCAAUACAUAUCAUAUCAUCAUAUAUCAUAUAUUAUCAAGAGUGAGAAGCUCCUAACCUCAAAGUUAGAUUACCAUUUUAUCCCUAUACUAUAUUAAAAUAUUACAAAAUAUAAUAAUUAAUUAAAUAGUGUUAAAGAAUGACAAAAGUCCCACAUCGGUGGUUAAUGAGAUGGGUGGACUCCUUAUAAGGCUUGGGCAAUCCUCCUCCCUUUGAGCUAGCUUUUGGGGUGUGAGUUAGGCCCAAGACCUAAUUUAACAUGGUAUUAGAGCAAGGUUCCGUCUCACCCGAUGUUGGGACCCCAAAAUCAAAAAUUGUCCACGCACUAGAUGCUAAGCACUGGGCGUGAGGUGGGGUGUUAAAGAAUGACAAAAGUCCCACAUCGGUGGUUAAUGAGAUGGGUGGACUCCUUAUAAGGCUUGGGCAAUUCUCUUUCCUUUGAGCUAGCUUUUGGGGUGUGAGUUACGCCCAAGACCUAAUUUAACAAAUAGUAAAUAAUGAAAGUCAUUUUUUCCACCUUUUCCUAUUUAAUUACGGUUUUUCACAUAAUUACUCUAUUAGUAUUGUGUACAAAUAAUAGAGAAUUGAAAAGGCAUCAUGAACUUUCAAUUUAGAAUUCAUGCUUUCUUUCUCCAUCAUCAAUAUCAUAUUUAUCUUAUAAUUAUAUUAUUGUACUCCAUAUGAUAAAUAAUUAUGAUCAUGAACUUUUGCUCGCUAAUUGGUCUCGCUAUUUCAUUCCUAGUUCUCUCUUUCAAGCUUCUUUCCAUCAUGGGGAUUUCUUCUCAUUCCGUCCGUUCUGCUAGCUGGUGUCGCCCUCUCUCUUACUUAUCUAUUCCCAUCCAUCUUCACCUCUCCAACUCCACUACUCCUUCAAGGCACGAUUAAUGUGCCUCAAACCUCUCUCUUGAGAAAGAGCAUUUUUUAAUGGAGCCUUAGCACGUGAACCCAUAGGAACAGGGCCUUCUUCUUUGCAGAAAAGCUUCUGAAUUAUCAUCACAUCAGUAGGCGCAGAAAGCAAAUCUUGGUACUGACUUAUUAAAAAUCUCAAAGAGAUUGCUUAGACAAAUCUUUUUGUGUGAGGCUGUUGUUUCCCACCUUUCUUACCUUGUUUUUUGGGCUUCAAAUUCUGUGACUCAUAAGCCCUCCAUAUCUAAAGAUAGAUGGCUAAAGGGCGGGUUUCACAGUUAACUAAAAAGGCGAUCGAUUGGCUUGGAAAGGAAAGGAAACCCUUCAUUUCCAAGCUUUAUUAUUUCUAUCUUAAUUUUUCCAUCUGGGCGCCUAUUCAUUCUUUUUGGGGUGUAUAAAGCCACAGAGCGAUUCAGGCAUCUAUCGUAUUGUAUUGACGCAAUUUGAAGAUCAGGAUUUCUCCCUACCGCUCAAGCGAGAUCAGAUUGGGCUUUAGCGAGAACAACUGUAAUUGAAUCAAGAAUGGAAAGACUUCGCUUCAACUCAAUAAAUGAUGUCAACUUUGUAAGUGCUAAGGCAAAAUAUAUCACCGAAAGGAAAUGUGAUAGGGAUCCUAGCCAGUUCACUCUACCUGAGCAAUAAAGUGGAAACCCCCCUCACGAUCGAUUAAAAGGAAAGCCACAUAGUCCACCGCGUCUUUCAUUGCAUUGCAUUUGUCGGGAUUGAAACCCCUUUCUUGAGCGUUCUCCUUCGCUCGUUGGCAAAACGCCUAUGCAUGCGUCUAGUUUGUUGGGGUGUUCACCUUUCACAUACCCAAGCCGUUAUAUUUUGUGUGGUGAAAAAUACGAUCCUUUCAUCCCUAUAAAUACACAAACUUAAACCUCAAUCACUCCACCCAUUUGGAAAAAAAAAAUCACUUCUACACUCAUAUGUUGACUCAUUGUUGUUCUACAAAAUUUUCUGAUGGCUAUAGUUGAUCACUUUCUUACAACAAUCUUAAUUAUUGUAGUGUUGUUAAACUUCGGCUCAAGAGUUUUACCAAAAAAAAGGCAAUUGAGAUUUAUUUAGAAUUUUGGGAGAUUUUCUAUUGUAAUUGAGAGUUAUUCUUUUGGCAAGAGCCUUCUUUGUUAUAUGAUUAAAUAAUCCUAUGUAUUAGUUGAAAUUUAUUUCUUGGCACUAGGUAGCAUACAUUUUUUAUGGUAUAAGUUGUUGAGUUUAAAAGUAAUUAUAUCCUUUAUAUUAAGCAUUGUAUUUGAUUACUCCAAAAGAAAAAAAUUAUGUAUUAGAAAAAGUAAACAAUUAAAAAUAAGACUUAUUAUUUUUUUGUUAGAGUAACCAAUAUUCUUAUCAUAAGAACUAAUAAAUAUAUGUAUUGUAUCGAGGCACUUCAUUACUUUCUUCUUCGUAUUUCUUUUCAAUUUUUAAUUUAUCAUGUGAUUUUUGCUACCUAUAUUGUAAAUUGUUUACUUUUUCUUUCUGUCACGACCCAAAAAUGGACAUGAUGACACUUGUCUAUUCUCACCAAGACAAGUCAGCCUCAACCCAAAAGAAAAUGAAAGAAAUGCGGAAAUACAAUAUAAUAGAACAAGAUAAAGGCAGAAAACUUAUUCAUUCUAAUCAAUUUCCCAAAACCUGGUUGUCACGUGUACAAGUCAUUAAAUACAUAAGAGCGGAAUUAAAAAAUAAAUACAAGUCACAGUCUUUGUUUCUCAAUUAAAAAAGAUCAAGAGAAAGGAUGACAAACAAUUACCUCUCAAAUCCUUCACGAGCCUCGACUAUCAGGAGAAAGAGAAGAAGAUCACACGGGUCCGGGCUCGAAACCUACACAAGUGUUAGCUAUAAGAAGGUAGAUCUCAAAGAUGUUUAAUUUCCACCCGAUGCAUCCUAUCAAUACAAUGAUGUAUUUUAUAUCUAAAAUUCAAAAUAAAUAUUUACAAAAGAUGUAUCAAUUAUCUGUUUCUUUAAUUCUUAACUCAAACACAAACAAAAUAGAACCAACAUUUUACGAAAACAUAAAUGUGAAAAUUACUGACAUUUUGUAGGGCAGCUAACUAAGGCGUCAACUUCGACUUCUCGAAUCUAUUAUCUACAAGUCACAACCUCUUCCAAGACCCAAAGACAUACAAAAAACAACGAGAAGUUUUACCCCGUUGAGAACAACAGGGAUAAACAAACCACAAGGCAGAAGGUGUUUGCAAGAGUAAGCAAGAAAAAAGAAUGAACAAUAAUUUUAAGGGUGCAAAGGCGGCGGCUUCCAAAGCUUCUUGAGGAUAAAGUUUAACCAAGUAUUUAUAGGUAGAAAUUAGGGUUUCUUGAGCAUAAAUUUGAUUUUCAGAUUUUGAAAUUGGUCAAAGAAAUCAAACGUUGGGGUGAACUGUAUGUUCACGUGAUUGAGAAGACAGUAGCAUAGAAAUGGAGUAUCUACCCUUUGUCUAUAGUUGGUGAAAACUUGUUGCUUUCUGAAAAUAGGAUAGAAGAGUAGAAGGCAGGGUUGUGGUUGCACUGGGUCUUGAAACCCUACUAAUUUAAAACAUGGUGGGGUAUUUAAUGUUUUGGGCUUGAAUUAGUUGAUUUGGGCUCGUUUUGAGAGUAUAAUAUGGGUUGCUGAUGUGUUAAGAGAUUUAAUUGGAUGUGAGAUAUAAGCUAGUUUGGUUGAUAGUCUUUUACUUCUUUAAACUAUGUUUUUGAUCUUCUAAUUUAAUAACUAGUGUAAUAUAUAAUUAAUACAUAAAAAUAAAGUACUAACUAUACAAUUUUUUUGUUAAUGAUUUAAAAAAAAAAAUUGAUGUAUAACUAAUUUGAUAACGACUAAAAAGUUUAAAAGAUAGCUUUAUUAUUAUUUUCUGAAAGAAAAUGUAACGACGACGACAACAACAACAACAACAACAACACCACCACCAAUAACAACAACAACAAUAGCGACAACAACAACAACGACAACGACAACAACAACAAUGACAACAACAACAACAAUGAUGAUAACAACAACAACAACAACAACAACACCACCACCACCACCACGAACAAUAGCAACAACAGCAACACCAUCACCACCAACAACAACAACAAGUCGUAAAAUGUAUUCGUUGAUAACUUUGCAAGGACUCAAACUUUUCAACUUUUCCAAGGCUCUUCCAUGGCUGCCCUCCUACGAACCAUGAGACCUUGUACCGUUUGUAGGUAGGCUCGUACAACAUGCACCAACAACUCUUUCGUAUUUUUUCUUUCCAACUCAACUUACCAACUUUCGAGGUGUUACAAUAACCCAUUUGCAAAGAAUUUUUAAUUGGGUUCUAUUUAAUCUUCAAUUUCAACCCAGACUCUUUAUUUGUAUUGGCUUAAUAUAUAUUCCCAUAUUUAGUAUGAAUUAUAAUCUAUUUUAUAUGGAUUUAUUUAUGCAUAUGUAUCUUAUUUUUUAAUUUACUUGAGUUAAAAUUCAAUUUCUGGUUAUAAAAAUAAAUAACAAUAUGUUAAAAUUAUUGAGAUUAAGCGGGUUAAAUUGGAUGGGUCAUUACCUAACCCAUUUUUUAGCCCGUUUGAGCCUAAAGUAAAUUUGGGCGGGUCAUGACUCAAUCCAAUUUCUAUUUCAACCCAUUUUAAUAUCCUCAAUUUAACCUAAUCCACCCAUUUUGCGUGUAUCCCGCUGUAGCAGUCACGCUAUAGCGAUUUGUUUCCUGCUAUAACGGCCUUAGCUUUUCAGCACAGAUAGUCUUUGGUAAAACAGUUACAACUUUUUAGUCCGGACACCAAAAGAAGCAAGCUUGGUGGCGUUGAAAAGAAGACGCACAGACCUUUAAUUUGAUAGUUGAUGGAACACCUAAUUCAUUAUAGGUUGAGAGAUAUGGUCUUUUAAAGUUUCCUUGGUUUAAACUUAAGCUCGAAAUUAAAUCAGUAAGACACUUUCAACUUAACUUUGUGAUAGGGGCAUUGUACGACCUUAAAUCAUAACUAAUGCACUCCCAUAUCAAGGAAUUGAUCCUAACCCUGUGACGGAUAAGAUUCGUAUAUCUUCACCGUAGAUAUUUUCAAUAACGACGGAAUAGGUAGUUACAUUAACAAAACAAUAUAUAUAUAUAGGUGAGGAAAUAGUAUAUACUUGAAGGUUUGUUUUACUUCAUGAAUAUUGAGUAGGCGUUUUGUCCAAACGGGAAAUUCUAUGAAAUUAUUUCUUACCUGUUGUGAAAACAACAUAAAAAUUCGUUAAAAAAUGAAACAACACCUACAAUUCUCAAAGAAAACUAGGAAAAUUAGAAGUAUAAUUUUGUGAGAUAAACCACUCACAUGUCACUGUCACCCAAAAUGAGAAGACAAAAAAAAUGUAUUUUUGGGAAAAAAUCAUUUAAUCGAUGGAUAAGGCUUUGACAAAGAUGCCAAAUGAUAAAACUGUAGUAGUGUACUGACAAUCUAUUCUACAACUAAUAAAGGGUAAAAUAGUCAAUAAACUUUUGAUGUGAAUUUUUAUAUUUUAACUUUUGAUUUUGUGGCUUCUUAUAGUAUGACCUCUACUAUUAUAUAAAAUUUAUAUAGACCUAACUCUUGUUGAUAAUAAGGUACUUAGUACCUUUAAUUAAUUUGUUGUGUCCUACCAAGUUCGUCCAUUGAGUCCAUAUAACUUAAGAAAUUUGACAAGAAUAAAUUAUAUUAAAUAGCUUUGAAAAACUCUAUUCAUAAGUAAAAAAAGUUUCAUUACACGUUUAUUUCAAAUGUGGAAAAUAAUAAAAAAAUAUUAAUGAGUAAUGAAGUACUAUAAAUAUAAGCUUUAGAAGAUGAAAAUAAUGCAUUUAAUUUAAAAAGAUAUUCAUUUGAAAACGUUACUGCAAUAAAUUACUUACAAUUAAAUGCUAAAAUAAUAAAGUUCAGUAUUUUAAGAUAAACUUUCAAAUAUGUAUAAUAUAUUAAUAUAUGAAGUAAUAUUUUCUUUGUACUGGAGGGUCGGAUAAUUCGACAUGAUUAUCGUUUGGUUUGAAUGAUAAAUUGAGUUGUGGGAGUAAUAUUCAUAAGCAACAAAAUUAAAUUUAAACUUAGCCAGAAAUCUUAAAAGUCACUCUUGAAAAUUCAAGUAUCACUAAAUUUUAGUAAGUAUUAAAAGGGUAAUUAUCAAUUUAUUGUGAGUGGUUUUUACGUUUUUGUACAUUGAACUUUUAUGAAACUCUCUACCAUUAACAAACUUUUAGUUGAUCCAAUUAUGUCUAUCUAGCAUUCUAACUACUUUAUUGUAUUUAAAGAGCUAAUUACUAUUUUGUAAUUAUUUUUCAUUUAAAUUACUCAAAUGCAUUCCAAUCUUUCAAUGAAUUAAUUUAAGUUUAAAAAGUAAAGUCAUUCAACUUUUAAUUGACAUUUUGAUAAAUUCAAUUUUUUAGCAUUUAAAGUUCUUACUUAGAAUAUUAUAUAUAUGAGAUAUCAACAUAAAUUAAGAGGAUGCUGUCUAAUAAAAUAGCAUUUGUAGAUGUUGUACCAUUUUUAUUUGCUAAAAAUUUGAAUUGUUUUCUAAAUUUUAAAUGUGGAUGAUAAGAUUUUUAAGGAAAUUGCUUUGAAAUCUUCAAACAACAUUCCAUAUUUAUAGCAAAAAAUCUAGGACAUCUCUGCUUGAAACAAUAAUAACAUCAUGUUAAACUUACUACUUUAUUAUAUCUAAGAAGUUAAAUAACAUAUUUGAACUGAUAAAAUAAAAAACCAAUAAUGAAAAUGUAUAUACAUGAAUAAUUGGACAAUGCAAUAAGAAUCUUUGUCUAUCAUUACAUGUUCUAUUAAUUUAUCAGAAUCACAUACUUAAAAAAAUUAUGAAUUUUUUUUUAUAAAAAUUAAAAUAAAGAAUGAAAGUUAAAGAGAUAACAUUUAUUAUAUCAAAUCAAAUUAACGUGAAAAAUAAUAAAAUACACAUGUGAUCAGAUUAUACAAAAUAAAAAAAAGUUAUACAAAGCAAUAUAUCAAUAAGAAAAAACAUACCAAUAAAUAAAAAAAUUACAGAAGAACUAUAUAUGAGAUGAUGAAACAUAAGUAUAGUGGAUUAAUAUUUUCUAUCCAAUUUAUAAAGGAAGAAAUUGUGUACAUGAAAAAUUGUGAUGUGUUCAAUUGUAGAAGCUAAAUGGUUUAAAAAUUAAAGUCAGAAGUGGAAAAUGAUAAGUUGUAACAUCUAACCAUGUUUUUGGUCUAGUUUAAUUGUAAUUAUUGAUUCAACUUUAAUUUACAGGUUAGUAAAAUAGUAAUUUUUAAUUAAGAAAAUUACUGAAGGGCAUUUUCGUAAUCCAACUUUGAACUUAAAACCUUUUCACUAUAUAUGUCCUUCAAUGCAUCCAUACGUAUUGUUCACCCUUAAUUAGAGGUCUCGAGUUCGAGCCUUGGUAUGGAGAAAACUGUUGCGAGCGCCACCCCCAAUGGGCCCUACAUUACACGAUUCAAAUUUAAUUGGGGCUCUAAUAUGGACUCCGAACACCGGAUGGAAAACCCAAAAAAAAAAAAACUUCAUUGUUUAGUUAGGAUGAAGGCCAUGAUAAAAUAAUGCUAAUUAUAUUUUUAAAAGUUCAAUGUCAUUUCCACAAUAUUGUGUGAUCCCUUUUCUCCAUUUCACCCUUUAAAGAAAAUAAAACAAACCUAAAUUCAUAUAUUGGAGCUAAUUCAAAUUGACUAAGAAGAAAUAAUUGAACAACUUUCCUUGCUUUCGUAACCACAAAUGUUUCCUCAAGUGAUAUAACUUUCAAUUAAAGUAUCUUUACAAUUAACUACUUUGUGGUACAAACUUAAAAUAAAGAGUGGAGAUCAAUCUGCAACACACGUUCACGAAAACUAGUCCAAUAUUAGAAGUGGAACACCCCAAGUAAAAUGUUGAAAAGGAUAAUUUUGUUGUGUUAUGCUUCUGCAAACUUGAGAUGGCAAAAGUCUGUCCUAGCUAAGGGUUCAUCCUGCUAACAGUUGCGCUGAGUAAUAUAAUACAUUACGUCUAAUUGAUUAAGGCCCGGAGGGAUAGUAUACUAUAUAGAUUAGGCUUGUUGCAACUCUAUUAGUCCAUUUGAUGUUCGAGUCCUUUAUCACUGCGUAUACACAAGAAUGGAAAACUUGGUGUUUGAUUGCUUUCAACGAUAUUGCAUCACAAGUCACAAGCAAUCAUCAACUGAAUACUCAAAAUAGACAGGUAGAAAAAUAUUCAAACAGCCAAUUGGAGGGGCCACCAUUUGGCUCAUUUAGUUCGAAAGAUGCAUUACUAAACUUGGCAAAUUUAAAACUAUCCUAGAUUGCCAAUAGGUCGCUAAUUAGGUAACAGAGAAAAGAUAGUCUAAUUCCUUAGUUCAAAAGACAUAUUUUUCACUUAGUUCCUUCAGCAGAGAAACUGAUCACUCCUUACCCUCCUCCACAGGAGACUCAACGUCACUAUCCACUGAAGCCACUGCACACUGAGAAGUGCUUCCAUUUGAUGCAUCCCCCUGCAUAUCAUUGUUUCCCAUUGGUGGUGGAGACACAAAGUAACCAUGGUGAUGCGCCAUUUGGUGCUUCAACAACAAAGGCUCCCCUCUCAGGGAUUCACUCUCACCACCAUCAAACUCACGAUAUUGAUGCAAGUACAAAGUCAAGGGUUCAAUGUAGUCAUCAAAACCAACCUUGCUCAUGGCCCAUAGAAUGUCUUCAGGGGUGAUGGUCUUGCGCUGCUCACUCUGGCAACGAUCGUUGGCUUCCAAUGUUAUGAAGCUUAUGAACUCAGAGACACAUUCUUGUAUGGUCUGUUUGGAGUCAUCGGAUAUUUUGGCAUGGGAAGGAAGGAUCCUGCGCAUAAUUCUGACCACGUUUGCUAUUGGCAUGAAUCGGUCUUGCUCCCGAGUGAUGCAUUCAGUAAUUGCCUGGUUGAGAUGAGCAGGCAUUCCCAUGCUUCUCUCCAUAUCUUAGUUCCACACAACAACAUCAGAGUGAAAUGGAAAAGAAGUAUAGUAUAUAUAUAUAUAUCACAUCAAAUAUUGGUCUAAUUUCAUCACAACUAGCUAGGUUUUUGUAGUCUAAUUAAACAUUAUUAAAUCACAUUUGCUAUCGACUAACUUUUCAAGUGUUGAAGCAAUUACAGAACUAAUGGCAUGCGUAUACACAUAUGUUUCACUAAUUAUUAGCUGGAUAUGAGAGUAAUAUUACUGUAAGACGGCACUAUGAAUUGCGGACAAUAUUCACAUAAACACCAAAAGCACAUAUUAUUUCGACAAAAGAGAUGGCCAGUGUGAAUACAUACUAAUUAAAGUAAUAUAAAAUGCUUCAUAUAUAGUUUUCAUCAUCUAUCUUAUUUUGUCUGAUCUUCAACUAACUCUGGCAUUUAUCAAACCAUCCAAAUUCGCCUCCGAUCAAAAGCCUUUUUAUUUUACCAUCAAUAUGAUAUAGGAAUAAGACAAAAUCUCAUCGUAACGGACACUACACUACCCACUGUUUUCAUAUACUCUAUAUUUGUAGUUCUAGUUGUUCUUAAAGUUUUAUGCAAUGCUUCUUAAUCUUUGGAUAAAUAAAUUCUUGUUAGAUUUUAAUUAACUUCUUAAAAUGCCUAUUUGUUCUGAUGAUAAAUUUGUUCUGUAUUUUAAUUUUAUGGUAAAAGCAGAGUAAUAAAAAUAAAACCUGUCUAAUUUGUGUAAUACAACUUGCUGGUUUUCAAACUUGCUAGCUUUAGUCGGUUUCUUUCUCACUCUCUUUUUACUAAUCGCAUGAAUGCCACUUGUUCCCCUUUUGUCUUAAAAGUUCCAAAAGACAACAAGAAAUGGCCGUGUCGAUCACCAUUACCAUGAAUCGAUCUAUUGAUCUUUGAUAAAUAACUAGCUUUGUAGAUAUAUAUAUAUAUAUAUGGAAAAAAAUAUGCAUAUAUAGUCUCUAGAUAAUUAAAGAUGGGUGUAUAGUAGAAGAUACAACAAGCUAAGAAACGUACACAAGUUGGAGCUCUUCAUCUAAAGAAAAUAAUGAAAAAUUCAGAAGAAUGACUGAAAAUUAUAAGCUCUCCUAAAAUUUCGCUCACAAGUGUUGUCUGAAAGAGUGAUGUGUAUGAAAUGUACCCCUACCUUGUGAAGGUAGAGAAACUGAUGCUAGGCUCGAGUAAGUAUAUCAAAAUCAAAUAUAUAAAACAAAUACAAAGUUUCAAGAAUGUUCUAUGGAGAAGGGGAAUGAAUUUACAAAGGUAAAAGAGAUGCUAGGUAGCAUACCAGGGGAAGGGGAAUGGGCAGGGGUUGGUUGUGGGAAUCUGCGAUAGCUAUGAAAUCCUCCAUUUCCUGAACCAACAUGCUUACCAUUAGUCAUCUCUCUCUCUCUCUCUCUACAAAUAUGUAUCUCUCUCUAAAUAUAUAAAGUAAGUGGCUCUUGACAAGUGAUACUUAUAGCUACAACAAUUAAGAGAAAAGGGGGACACAUAGCAACAGGGCGUAGUGAACGAGGUGAAGGUAUUCACCCGGAUAAAUAGGCUUUCAAGUUGGACAGAUGAGCAUUGACCAAAAAUGAAAUAACUAUAUACCACUAUUUCUUCCAUCCCAAGUGUUACUUUAGCUCAUUUGACAUCCAUUAAGGAAAAUAAUAAAUUGAAGUAUAAUUUAUUAAGUUACCUUUAAUUAUUUGAUGUUUUUUGAGAAUUGAGCAAUAUUAAAAAGUAGUUCUUUAAUACGAUGAGUAGAGUUGGAAAAACAUACUAAUUUUUGUCCUGAAUUCCUACAACAUUUUGGGAAAAUUUAUUUUGGCUAAAGUGCCACUUAUUUUGGGAAAGAAGGAGUAUACGUUACUUAUUGUUUAAUUUUCAACCAUUUGGCCAUUUCCUUUUUACAUUUCUCCUUUCUCAACAAUUUAUAGUUCCAAUCCUAUUCAAACCGACCCCAUUCAUUCAAAUUCAGAAAAAAUUGUUUCGAGUGACUCGUUAUCCAGAGUGUGUAGAGUUACCCACGUCAGUUGUGGAUAGUGAUGACAAAUGCGCGAAUUGGUUCUGGUUUUGGAGGAUUGAAGAUGGAUUGGAUUGAGAUUUGGAUCUCUUUGUAUGACCUUGGAGAAUGCUCAACUGAUCAAUUACCUUUUGAGGUUAAGUCCACCGUUCUUUUUAUUAAAAAUUAUUUUUUCAAGUGUAGGUAAUUCGAUCAUAAACGCUAUUUGAUUUCACAAAUUAUAGGUGAAAUUAACAUACUAGUAGUAUUAAUGAAUGUACCAAGUUGAUGUAACGAAAUUUUGGUAGAUUAAGUAUAGUCAGAAAGGAAUUAGCAACAAUAUACUACAGAAUCCUUCAAUUACCAAGAAAAGCCACACAUUUAAGUGAUCAUAAAACCCCUGAAAAUGUCUGAAUAGCAACUUUGUAACUAUUUAUGAAAUUUAGCAAUAUUAAAUGCAAACUUUUAUCAUCCACAAUGGAACAUUAACAAAACAAAUCCGACUAUAAAUAGGACAACAUCGAACACAUAACAUAAUAAAUUUUGUAUAGCAACUUCCAGAUCAGUUUAAAUAUGACAUCAACACACUUUAAGAAAAGAAGUCGUACGCAAUAUGCCACUUGGAGAACAGGUUUUAAAUGCAGCUUAGCAGUUUCCUUUUUCCUUAAAGUUUGUGGCAUUGCUUAAUUCUGGCACUGUUCAAUGAUCAUCCUCUCAAGUUUCGGAGAAUGAGAAAAGAGGAAUCUUAUUAAGUACAUUUCAGUACUUGAUCCCUUGAA
rnacentral:lncRNA from 1 species